CCGAUUGCUAUUUGGGUGAGAAUAAGCCAUGCGAGUUGAAUGGGAUACCUAAAGUUCCCAUAGCAAACUGCUCAGUAACACAUGAUCAACUUACCCUAUAGAGAAAAAUAACCUCGGGAAACUGAGGAUAAUGUUUCAUAAUUGAAUUGGCUUGGAAAAGUUUUUCAAUGAAAAGGAUAAAAAAAAUGGUUUUUAUCCGCUAUAGGAUAGGAUCGUGUUCGAUUAUGGUUGUUGGUGAGAUAAUGGCCCACCAAGCCGAUAAUCGAUAGGGGCCGUGAGAGCGGGAGCCCCGAGAUGGGUACUGAGACAACGACCCAGGCCUUACGAGGCGCAGCAGGCGCGAAACCUCCGCAAUACACGAAAGUGUGACGGGGUUACCCAAAGUGUUCAAUUUGAACUGUGGUAGGUGAGUAAUGUCCCCUACUAGAAAGGAGAGGGCAAGGCUGGUGCCAGCCGCCGCGGUAAAACCAGCUCUUCAGGUAGUCGGGAUAAUUAUUGGGCUUAAAGUGUCCGUAGCCGGUUUAGUAAGUUCCUGGUAAAAUCGGGUAGCUUAACUAUCUGCAUGCUAGGAAUACUGCUAUACUAGAGGGCGGGAGAGGUCUGAGGUACUACAGGGGUAGGGGUGAAAUCUUAUAAUCCUUGUAGGACCACCAGUGGCGAAGGCGUCAGACUGGAACGCGCCUGACGGUGAGGGACGAAAGCCAGGGGAGCGAACCGGAUUAGAUACCCGGGUAGUCCUGGCCGUAAACGAUGCAUACUAGGUGAUGGUACGGCCAUGAGCCGUACCAGUGCCGUAGGGAAACCGUUAAGUGUGCCGCCUGGGAAGUACGGUCGCAAGACUAAAACUUAAAGGAAUUGGCGGGGGAGCACCACAAGGGGUGAAGCCUGCGGUUC
rnacentral:rRNA from 1 species